CGUCAUCGUCGGUCAGGGCACCCUCGGACUCGAGAUCUGGGAUGCCGUUCCCGACGUUGAGACGGUCAUCGUUCCCAUCGGCGGUGGCGGCC
rnacentral:tRNA from 1 species